rnacentral:rRNA from 1 species
GACGAACGCUGGCGGCGUGGAUUAGGCAUGCAAGUCGAACGGUAUCAUCCUUUCGGGGGUGAGAGAGUGGCGAACUGGUGAGUAACACGUAGGUUAUCUACCCUCAAGACGGGGACAACCCAGGGAAACUUGGGCUAAUACCGGAUGUGAGCAACUUUUAGUUGUUUGAAAGGUGGCGUAAGCUGUCGCUUGGGGAUGAGCCUGCGUCCUAUUAGUUAGUUGGUGAGGUAACGGCUCACCUAGGCAAUGAUAGGUAGGCGGCCUUAACGGGUGGUCGCCCACACUGGGAUUGGGAUACGGCCCAGACUCCUACGGGAGGCAGCAGUCGAGAAUAGUCUACAAUGGUCGGAAGACUGAUAGUGCGACGCCGCGUGAACGAUGAAUCCCUUCGGGGUGUAAAGUUCUUUUAUAUGUGAGCAGUGCUUCUUAUAUUAACAGUAUGGGGAGAGAGAUAUUAGCAUAUGAAUAAGCAACGGCUAACUCCGUGCCAGCAGCCGCGGUAACU